UUCCAGACUCCUACGGGAGGCAGCAGUGGGGAAUAUUGCACAAUGGGGGGAACCCUGAUGCAGCGACGCCGCGUGAGUGAAGAAGUAUUUCGGUAUGUAAAGCUCUAUCAGCAGGGAAGAAAAUGACGGUACCUGACUAAGAAGCCCCGGCUAACUACGUGCCAGCAGCCGCGGUAAUACGUAGGGGGCAAGCGUUAUCCGGAUUUACUGGGUGUAAAGGGAGCGUAGACGGCGAUGCAAGCCAGAUGUGAAAGCCCGGGGCUCAACCCCGGGACUGCAUUUGGAACUGUGUGGCUGGAGUGUCGGAGAGGCAGGCGGAAUUCCUAGUGUAGCGGUGAAAUGCGUAGAUAUUAGGAGGAACACCAGUGGCGAAGGCGGCCUGCUGGACGAUGACUGACGUUGAGGCUCGAAAGCGUGGGGAGCAAACAGGAUUAGAUACCCCUGUAC
rnacentral:rRNA from 1 species